GAAAUGGAAACUCUUACAGGGAUUGGCCACUUCAGGGGGCAUAAAUUUGGGCAAAGGAAAGGAUUAUAGAAACCCAGCCUGAAAGCUGUUAGCUCACUGCUGCUCCCAUCCAUCAGCCAGACCCAGACAGCAAGAUUCCGUCUCUGCUCUCCUCCAAGGUCCGGUGACAAAGCCUUCGCGGCGCCACCAUGCGGCAGAAGGCGGUAUCACUCUUCUUGUGCUACCUGCUACUCUACACCUGCUGCGGCGAGGAGACCGACGAAAGACGACGCUCAAAGGACGACAGCAGCUCCGGGUUAUUGGGCACACUGACCUACAUGGCCGUCGGAGGAGGACUCAUGGCCAUGGCGCUGCCCGCGCUGGGCUUCGCGGGCACCGGCAUCGCCGCCAACUCGAUAGCCGCCUCGCUGAUGAGCUGGUCGGCCGUGGCGAACGGGGGCGGAGUGCCGGCCGGCGGGCUGGUGGCCACGCUGCAGAGCCUGGGGGCUAGCGGCGGCAGCGCCCUCAUGGCCAAGAUUGGGGCCUUUUUGGGCUACACCAUCCACAAUCAACUUGAAAACCAGAAGGAGACAAAGGACAAGGAGUAGUCAGCAGCUCCCCAGAACUCCUCUUUCCUCCUUCCUCCUUGUCCUCCUUUUUCUAGCUGUAGUCCAGAGCUUCUGCUGUCACACUUGGCAAUGACCUAAGUUGAAAAAAAAAAAACACAGAAUAAACUCCUCUCUGAAA